rnacentral:rRNA from 1 species
AUGGUUGGAUGUGUGCUGGGCACAUCUUUAUGUCCAAAUAACAUUUGGCAGUACUAUUCCUGGUGUUAUAUUUUCCUUCCUGAUGGAACCAAACUUUACACCUCUGGUUUGGCGGCAAUCUGUUGGGCGAUUUGGAACAAUCGUAACCGAGCUACGUUUGAACAUAAAGAUCUCAAAAGCCCUUUUAAUGUGGUGUAUGCUGCUUGUGGUUUUUUGAUGUACUGGGCAGGUUUGAUGGCUGGCGAUGAUCGGGAGACCAUGGAGCGUGGAGCCAAGAUGCUCAGGUCCAGUGCAUCGAUGAUGAUGAGAAUCUGCGCGGCUCCAACCAACUCAGCUUCAAACUGA